ensembl:snoRNA
AGCCUCAUUUCGAUUGUUAAUGGGCACAGUUGAUCAUGGUGUCCAGAACUGCUAAUGUGGCUAGAUUGAGACACAGGUUAUGCUUCCAUCACAGUAAAUUUAUUGCAGUGGUGACAAUGAGACCUGUAACAAGU